rnacentral:lncRNA from 10 species
GGAAUAUCAAUCCAUAUGCUAGAUGCCAUGCUAAGUGCUUUAUACAUAGUGUCUCAUUAUUCACUAUAAUCUUCUGAAGUAGGAAUCCUUAUUCCCAUUUUCCAGAUAGUGUAGCUGAGGUUCAGGGAAGUAAAACAUCAAGGUCUGAUGACAACCAAGUAUUUCCGAAGUCCAAAAGACCAUACAAGACCAGCUGUAGUCCAUCUCCCCUGAAGCCUGGCCAACAGAUCAAGGAGAACAUGGCUUGAGCUGCAAAAACAGACCAGAGAGAGAAACCCUGGGAAACUAGGCUCUAGCGGGUAGCUCAGGAGGGGAACCCACACUGCAGAGGAAAAGUAAAGAGGCCUGGGUGCCGGGAUUAACUCUAAUCAUCCGUGAGACUCUGGCAAGACAUGCUCUCCCUCAGAACCUCCAAAGACUGGAGUGAUCAGGUUUUUCAACUUUUAACAAAGGCCCAGCGUUUCUAACCAAAUAUAAUCUCCCUAAACCCUCAGUUUCUCAUGCACUUCCUCUUUGAGGAUUGCUCUGCUGCCUGUUUAUUCCUCAGAAACCAAGUUUCACUUUCUGAAAUCUGUUAUAAAGCCAGGCGACUUUUCAUUGUUACACUAUAAAUUAUGAUACCAAAU